GUCUAGACUCAGUUCAGGAAAGUCACGUAUGUGGGAUCCGUCCUCACUACACAAGUCCUGAUGACGGUAUCAUCUCCAUUGAAGGCUGUGGACGCGGAGAUGGUUCGAGAAGUGUGCACCAAGUACAUUUAUGGCAAAAGCCCGGCCAUUGCUGCUCUCGGUAAGCUCAGCUCUUCUCCUUACCCAUACAGAGUGGCUAAGGACGUGGGGGUCUGUCCUAACUGUUUUUACUGUUCUUUUGAAUCCACAGGUCCUAUUGAGCGCUUACCAGAUUUUAACCAGAUUUGUAGUAACAUGCGCUGGACUCGUGACUGAUUUUUGUGAUGAAUUAUCCUACACAUACAUAUUUAUAAAACUGAGACCUAGAAGUUUUGAAAGACUGCUCAUCUUCAAGUGAAAAAAUAAAAACUUUAUUUG
rnacentral:lncRNA from 1 species